AUAGGAUAAAAAUUAGGCCCAAAUGGAGAAGUGUUGCAUCCCCUUGAAAUGAGUGCAUGUACAUCACACCUCCUACGGUGGUUGCCAAAGCUCCGAGUGAACCCAAAAUAGGCCUUGGACUUGGAUCUACCAAAUGAUAAGAAUUCCUCUUAAGAUUCAAUCAUAAACUACUUUGCCAAGGUUGUAUGUAAACCCCCCCACCCCCUAAAGUAGUAAAGAAGGGCUCUUUGGGGUCUAAUUUUUAUAUUCUAUCUGACAGGAAAAACAAAUAGGAAGGGAUGGUUCUUUCAUUGCAUUGAUAGAAGUCUAACUAGAAAAAGAUCUUACUAUUACUAUCAAUUUAGGAAGAGAAUCAGAAUGAAAAGAAGCCCAAAAAAAAGCAAAAAAGAACAUAACCUCCGAUACGAUGAACAGAAUAAAACCAUAUCGAGGUCCUAAUUGUACGAUUUUGGUAUGAUGUCCUUCCAACGUGGACUCACGUAGAACAUCGCGCCACCAUACAAACAUAGUAUAUAGGAUAAAAAUUAGGCCCAAAUGGAGAAGUGUUGCACCCCCUUGAAAUGAGUGCAUGUACAUCACACCUCCUACGGUGGUUGCCAAAGCUCCGAGUGAACCCAAAAUAGGCCUUGGACUUGGAUCUACCAAAUGAUAAGAAUUCCUCUUAAGAUUCAAUCAUAAACUACUUUGCCAAGGUUGUAUGUAAACCCCCCCACCCCCUAAAGUAGUAAAGAAGGGCUCUUUGGGGUCUAAUUUUUAUCCUAUAUCUGACAGGACAAACAAAUAGGAAGGGAUGGUUCUUUCAUUGCAUUGAUAGAAGUCUAACUAGAAAAAGAUCUUACUAUCAAUUCAAAAAGAUCUCUCUAUUACUAUCAAUUUAGGAAGAGAAUCGUUGGGUUAACCGACGAACUACAUGGGAGGAUCUUCUUUCUUUUCUUUU
rnacentral:lncRNA from 1 species